UACGUAGGUGGCGAGCGUUGUCCGGAUUUACUGGGCGUAAAGAGCGCGCAGGCGGUCGUCCAAGUCGCGUGUGAAAGCCCCCGGCUCAACUGGGGAGGGUCACGCGAUACUGAUCGACUCGAAGGCGGGAGAGGGAAGCGGAAUUCCCGGUGUAGUGGUGAAAUGCGUAGAUAUCGGGAGGAACACCAGUGGCGAAGGCGGCUUCCUGGCCUGUUCUUGACGCUGAGGCGCGAAAGCUAGGGUAGCAAACGGG
rnacentral:rRNA from 1 species